AUUGAACGCUGGCGGCAGGCCUAACACAUGCAAGUCGAGCGCGCGGCGGACGGGGGAGUGAUGUCUGUGAAACUGCGUGAUGGAGGGGGGGAACUACUGUAGACGGGAGCUAAUACCGCGUACCCUCAGAGAUGCCCCGAGGGGAUUAGCUAGUGGGUGGGGUAACGGCUCACCUAGGCGACGAUCCCUAGCUGGUCUGAGAGGAUGACCAGCCACACUGGAACUGAGACACGGUCCAGACUCCUACGGGAGGCAGCAGUGGGGAAUAUUGCACAAUGGGCGCAAGCCUGAUGCAGCCAUGCCGCGUGUGUGAAGAAGGCCUUCGGGUUGUAAAGUACUUUCAGCGGGGAGGCGUUACCCGCAGAAGAAGCACCGGCUAACUCCGUGCCAGCAGCCGCGGUAAUUC
rnacentral:rRNA from 1 species